AGUGAACGCUGGCGGUAGGCCUAACACAUGCAAGUCGAACGGCAGCACAGUAAGAGCUUGCUCUUACGGGUGGCGAGUGGCGGACGGGUGAGGAAUACAUCGGAAUCUACUUUUUCGUGGGGGAUAACGUAGGGAAACUUACGCUAAUACCGCAUACGACCUACGGGUGAAAGCAGGGGAUCUUCGGACCUUGCGCGAUUGAAUGAGCCGAUGUCGGAUUAGCUAGUUGGCGGGGUAAAGGCCCAGCAAGGCGACGAUCCGUAGCUGGUCUGAGAGGAUGAUCAGCCACACUGGAACUGAGACACGGUCCAGACUCCUACGGGAGGCAGCAGUGGGGAAUAUGGGACAAUGGGCGCAAGCCUGAUCCAGCCAUACCGCGUGGGUGAAGAAGGCCUUCGGGUUGUAAAGCCCUUUUGUUGGGAAAGAAAAGCAGCAGGUUAAUAUCCCGCUGUUCUGACGGUACCCAAAGAAUAAGCACCGGCUAACUUCGUG
rnacentral:rRNA from 1 species